UUGCGAAACGAGUCCCGGCUCCUCGCGCUCUCCUCGGCAAGGCACCCCGCACCCCGAGCGCCGCUCCUUCUGCCCCAGAGCCCCGGCGCAGGAAGGAGCGAGCAGCACCCAUUUCCUGUGGGUUUCAUCACCACCCCCACCCUGCUUCCAUCUGUUGAAGAGAUCAGCCACGAAGUUAACUUGCAAUUACACUACCCGUGAAAUUACACCAACACUUCCAGUGGCAUUACUAAGCAUUAAAGCGAACACCCUGGUGAGAUAAAUGCGAGAGGGGGGAAUUUGCCCCUUGCAUAAACGGGUUGUUGGCAACCUCAGUUUUAAAGAGAUAAACAACUGCUUCCAUUUUAUGAGGAUUUCUGAUGGAACACUGUCCAUAAACCUGCAGUAUUUUCUGUGCUCCUAUGAGAAAAACCUAGCUCUAGAUCUUCAUCUCACCAGUGUAUCAUUCUGGAAGAUGAGAAUGCUGCCUGGGCAGAGGCAGUAAGAGAUCCCAUUUCUAAACUGUGUUCUUGAAGUACAAUAAUAGAUGGCCCUCACACUAACUCUGAGCCAGAUCUUGCUUUUUCUGUGUUUCAUUUUCUAAAAUACCUUAAUAGGAGGGAAAGCAUAAACCCUGUAUUUAUUCCAAGAAAACAGAAAUCCCAUAGUCAUCAUCUUUAGUACAGUUCUGUUUUCCAGGGACUGGAAAUAAUACUGUAACACUUACAAGAGGCAGCUUAAAAUCCAGAAGAUUGCAGAAUGUAUUCCAGUAUUUUCAGAUUCUGCAACAGCUUCUUUUUCUUUCCUUUGACACGCUGUAAGAGGAAGACAUCAAGAGUUACCAACUCUCCCACCUGUGGGGCAGAAGUCUUUGUGAGAAGCACCACCCAGUUAUUAUCAUCAGAGCUUGACAAGAUGCAUCCAAGCAACUGUUUUAACUUUCCCUCAUAUGAAGAUCUAGGAAGACAGUGGUCAAGGAAGUACUUGGUAAUUCUCCAUUUUAACAGGAAGAAAUAAGAGUAAAAAUAUGCUUUUCUGGAUCUGAAGACUCUUAGUUAUGGUGGCUUUCUACAUGGAAGGUUUUCAUCCUAACAUAUUUUUUCUUUAUUAACAAACAGAAAUGACAGAAUCAUAGGUAACUCCUAUUAAAAAAUUCCUGGGGGAGGCAAAGCACUGCUUAUAACAGAGUUAUUGCUGCAGCCUUAAUUAGGGCACGGUGCCAAAUACCUCCAUGAUGAAAAACAAAUCGAUGUAAUGAUGCUUUCCCAUUACCUUUUUUUGGAGUAAUUAAAUGUCACAAAAUAUUUUGCAUACUUCCUACUGGGGACCAGGGCAUAUGGGACUGAUUUACAGCAGAAGUCAAAAGGAUUUUCUUUAAAACCAGUGCAGGCAAACAGACAGCUUCUGGAACUGAAAGUUAAAAUAUAUUUUAAUUUUCACCACAGCAAAUGGUGAAGCACUUAUUGACUGUAAAAUUUGAAAUACAGUGUAGAAUCUGACUAGAUUAACUUAGUAUAUCUACUUCCCUUUUUCACCCAAACAUACAUUGUUUCACCUAAACUGAAACUGCUCUGGAAAUUCAAACCCUGUCAUUUAGACUUGUACUCUAAGAUCCUGCAUGUUUAAAGAGACUUAUGUCCACACACAUUGACAGCUGAAGAAUCCGCCUCUGUUGAAUUCAGUACGUUUUUCACUGGCUUUCGUUCAGCAGGUCACAUCAUGAGAAUCUUACUCACUUUUUCCUCUAUUUCCACUCAGGCACGCUUUCAGAGGGGUUUAUUCAACACAAGGGCUGAUUAAAUACUGAGCAAACA